CGACCCUCACCUGGACACCUGCUGUGGACACACGGGGUGUGGUCAGGUUAGGGACCCACAAGGUUCCAAGCUUGCAGGCUGUGAUGGCCUGGGGCCUGCCCAGUGGACCACGCAGGGUGGCUUCCCCAUUCUUUGGGAAAGUUGACAACUAGGAAGCCCUUGGGCAGCUGAGGGACCACAAGGGAAGGGUCAGCACGGGGGUCUCAGCACUACACAGUCCAGGCAGGUCUUGAACUCGAGACCUUCCUUCCUGCCUCAGCCUCCUGGAGCGCUGAGAUUACAGGCGGCCCGAGCUAGCCCAAGCGAAAGAUGCCUCCUAAACCUUCUCAAGGCCAAAGGCCCAGCUGAAUCUGUCCGGAAUGUGGGAACUUCUGCUCCUAGAUGCAAACGCAGCCUCCCUUCUUGCAGAAAAGGAAGAGAAAACACAGCACCUCCCUCCAGCACACCCUGGGUUCGCGCCGAGCUGAGUCACCUGCAGCUGCUGUCUCCGCCUGGUCCCACCUGCUCCCAGUUCCUCCUCUUUCUCCUUGGCUUCCUCUCCCCAGCUGNNNNNNNNNNNNNNNNNNNNNNNNCCCCCCCCCCCCGCGCGGUGGAGUCCGCCCAUUCAGGUCAGUUUUGUUCACAUCUGUUAACUAAACCCCAAGCCGCAAGAACUUAUUGUUUGUUCAUCACCUUAAAAAUACAGCCUCAGGGCCAGGGAUAUGGCUUAGCAGUGCCUGCACCUGCUUAAAGUGAAAGGUCCUGAGCUCGAUCCCCAGUUGUGGGGGAGGGUACAACCUCGCACGAUGGCGCACACCUGUAACCCCAGCACUUGGGAGGCUGAGGCAGGAGGAUGGCAAGUUUGAGCCCAGGAUGGACAAUUGAGAGACUUAUCUGAGACCCUGCCUCAAAAUAAAAAAUUAACCAAGACUUGUCAUGUAGAGGUACAAGAUCCCAACAAUGAACGUAACUGUACUGUAUCCCUAAAAUGUACCAAUAAACUCC
rnacentral:lncRNA from 1 species